GACGUAGGGGGCGAGCGUUGUCCGGAUUUACUGGGCGUAAAGGGCGCGUAGGCGGCCCGUUAAGUGUGAAGCUAAAUCUCCAGGCUCAACUUGGAAACUAUUUCGCAUACUGGCGGGCUUGAGGAACGCAGAGGUGACUGGAAUUCCCGGUGUAGCGGUGAAAUGCGUUGAUAUCGGGAGGAACUCCAAUGGCGAAGGCAGGUCACUGGGCGUCGCCUGACGCUGAGGCGCGAAAGCGUGGGUAGCAAACAGG
rnacentral:rRNA from 1 species